UCAAUAGCGUAUAUUAAAGUUGUUGCAGUUAAAAAGCUCGUAGUUGAAUUUUGGAUUCUUCCAAUUGGUCCAUCUUUUAGAUGAGUACUGGUUGUGUGGGGUCUAUCCGCCUGGUGAUACGUAAUGUCCUUUAUUGGAUGUUUCGGGUAGUCAGGACCUUUACCUUGAAAAAAUUAGAGUGUUUAAAGCAGGCUUAUGCCGGAAUACAUUAGCAUGGAAUAAUAGAAUAGGACGAAGUUGUUUUAUUUUGUUGGUUUCUAGGACAACCGUAAUGAUUAAUAGGGAUAGUUGGGGGCAUUAGUAUUCAAUUGUCAGAGGUGAAAUUCUUGGAUUUAUUGAAGACUAACUACUGCGAAAGCAUUUGCCAAGGAUGUUUUCAUUAAUCAAGAACGAAAGUUAGGGGAUCGAAGACGAUCAGAUACCGUCGUAGUCUUAACCAUAAACUAUGCCGACUAGGGAUCGGGCGAUGUUGUUUCCAUGACUCGCUCGGCACCUUAUG
rnacentral:rRNA from 1 species